GAUGAAGAACGCAGCGAAAUGCGAUAAGUAAUGUGAAUUGCAGAAUUCAGUGAAUCAUCGAAUCUUUGAACGCACAUUGCGCCCCCUGGUAUUCCGGGGGGCAUGCCUGUUCGAGCGUCAUUACAACCCUCAAGCUCUGCUUGGUGUUGGGCCCCGCCGCCCCGGCGGGCCCUAAAAUCAGUGGCGGUGCCGUCCGGCUCCGAGCGUAGUAAUUCUUCUCGCUCUGGAGGUCCGGGUGUGUGCUCGCCAGCAACCCCCAAUUUUUUUCAGGUUGACCUCGGAUCAGGUAGGAAGACCCGCUGAACUUAAGCAUAUCAAUAAGCGGAGGA
rnacentral:misc_RNA from 1 species